UCAAUGCAGGAGCAAACCUAGAUGUAAU
rnacentral:sRNA from 1 species